rnacentral:rRNA from 1 species
UGGGACUGAGACACGGCCCAAACUCCUACGGGAGGCAGCAGUGGGGAAUAUUGCACAAUGGGCCAAACCCUGAUGCAGCGACGCCGCGUGAGUGAAGAAGUAUCUCGGUAUGUAAAGCUCUAUCAGCAGGGAAGAAAAUGACGGUACCUGACUAAGAAGCCCCGGCUAACUACGUGCCAGCAGCCGCGGUAAUACGUAGGGGGC